rnacentral:rRNA from 1 species
ACCCGCUGAAUUUAAGCAUAUCAAUAAGCGGAGGAAAAGAAACCAACAGGGAUUGCCUUAGUAACGGCGAGUGAAGCGGCAAAAGCUCAAAUUUGAAAUCGGCCUCCAGGUCGAGUUGUAAUUUGUAGAUUGUAUCUUGAGAGCGGAUUAAAGUCUGUUGGAACACAGCGCCUUAGAGGGUGACAGCCCCGUAAAAUCUAUUCUCAUUGUAAGAUACUUUCGAAGAGUCGAGUUGUUUGGGAAUGCAGCUCUAAGUGGGAGGUAAAUUCCUUCUAAAGCUAAAUAUUGACGAGAGACCGAUAGCGAACAAGUACUGUGAAGGAAAGAUGAAAAGCACUUUGAAAAGAGAGCGAAAAAGUACGUGAAAUUGUUAAAAGGGAAGGGUAUUGAAUCAGACUUGGUGCUGUUGUUCAACUGUGUUUUGGCACAGUGUACUCAGCAGUACUAGGCCAAGGUGGGGUGUUUGGGAGUGAAAAAGAAGUUGGAACGUAACUCUUCGGAGUGUUAUAGCCUACUUUCAUAGCUCCUCAGGCGCCUCAGGACUGCGCUUCGGCAAGGACCUUGGCAUAAUGAUUCUAUACCGCCCGUCUUGAAACACGGACCAAGGAG